rnacentral:lncRNA from 1 species
GGCAUUAGUCCUCCAUUGUAAUCUAUUUAGUAUGGAAGUUGAAAAAAAAUCAAUUACCUAUCUUAUUUGGGGUACUUCUUUCAUAAAAAAUGUCAAUUUUGACACCUAAAAAAAUUAAAUUAAAUAUGUAUAGCUUAAAAUUAAAAACUUUACUUGGAAAUCUUGUUUACAAUGAUAAGACCCAUGUCUGUGCAAAAUUUGGUGAGGAAAUAAAAAAUGAGACAUGCAUAUGCCC